rnacentral:lncRNA from 1 species
CUGUGUCAGAGGGGAGCGGAUCACUGGAGGACUAGUUCAACAUUUCUGAGGAAGCACGAGGUAAAUGACAGCCAGCAUCAUGCAGCGGGCAGCACUGCAAUCAAUAUUCAUGAGCUGGAGAAGAACUCUGCACUGUUUGGGGGCAGCCUCAGCAGAGGGUCUGUUGCUCGGUAUGUGUGUAAGGUGAGCAAAACAUUCACCUUAGCAGCGAGCUAAUUACUCUUUACUUUUUCCCCCCACAAGAAUCUAAGCCACUGCAUCGAGCCAGCCUUCAGACCCUAUGGGACACUAUGGGACACUAUGGGGCAAGGCAGCAGCUGAAAAGGGAGCGGACAGCACUGGUGUCAGGACAUGCACGGGGAGGAUGUGGGAACCCCCAGGGCUGGGGGCACAAGGAAGGAAAAGCUGCCAGCAAAUGGCAUCUGGAGCUGUGGGCUGCUGCAGUCCCCCUCGGGUGCCAUUUCCUGGGGACGCACACAGUGCUGCUUCCCGAGGAGGAAUGGCCAGAUGCUGCUGCUGCUGAUUUCUCCUUUGACUUCUGAUGGUGCUGGCGUUGCCAAUUUAGUGAAUUGCUUUCUAACGAUUCCCCUGGUGACCGGUGGCAAAACUCCCACAGAUUGCAAGAGGGACAGGGCUGGGCAUUUAAUAACAGCAGCGCUUUUGUGUGUGCUGCAAAGCCCCCGGGAGCCCCAGCGACAGGCCCGGGGCUCAUUAGGAUGGUGCAAACAUAAAGCAAAGAGACAGUCCCUGCCUGGGAAGCUUGUGCCCCCAUUGAUCUGCCACUGUGAGAAAAGGACAUCUCCUACCAAACCUGGCAAUGCUGCUGCACGUG